AGCACCCGUCUCCACAGAGGACGAUUUGAGUUCCCAUAGAGAAGUCAUCAACACAGGGCACAAGAAUGAUUACUAGAGGAGCGUGCAGGGCUUCUUACACAGGACCUCAACAAGUGUGAAUCUCUUUGGAAUUUCUUUCCAGUUUGAGGAAACCGAAGAGCACCUGCUGAAUUCUGUUACGUUCUUGACAGGCUGCUCAUUGCUGUGGAGAAGCAUUGCGACCCUAUCCAACUGUGACUGCCUGAGAAUGAAGAUCAUAAAGGGAAAUCGAACCAGACCUAGGGGCACAGUUUUACUCCCAGGAGGCAGAGGCAGAAGAAGAAGCAGGUGGAUGUUUCUGAUUUCCAAACUGGCCUGGUAUACAAAGUAAGU